rnacentral:rRNA from 1 species
ACUCAAUAGAUACCCCGGUAGUCCACGCUGUAAACGAUGGGUACUAGGCUUUGUGGGAAUAGACCCCUGCAGAGCCGGAGCUAAACGCAAUAAGUACCCCGCCUGGGAAGUACGGUCGCAAGACUAAAACUCAAAGGAAUUGACGGGGGCCCGCACAAGCGGUGAAUCAUGUGGUUUAAUUCGAAGCAACGCGCAAAACCUUACCUGGGUUUGACAUCCCCGGACAUCCGUAGAAAUACGGCUUCUGUAGCAAUACAGCCGGGAGACAGGUGCUGCAUGGCUGUCGUCAGCUCGUGUGGUGACAUGUUGGGUUAAGUCCCGCAACGAGCGCAACCCUUGUCUUUAGUUGCCAGCAUUCAGUUGGGCACUCUAGAGAAACUGCCGUGGUUAACACGGAGGAAGGUGGGGAUGACGUCAAGUCCUCAUGGCCUUUAUAUCCAGGGCGACACACGUGAUACAAUGGAUGACACAAAGGGAAGCGAACCCGCGAGGGGAGCGAAUCUCAAAAACGUCAUUCUCAGUUCGGAUUGGAGUCUGCAA